GUGGGGAAUAUUGGACAAUGGACCAAAAGUCUGAUCCAGCAAUUCUGUGUGUUUGAUGAAGGCCUUCGGGUUGUAAAGAACUUUAAGUAGGGAAGAAGAAAGUGACGGUACCUACAGAAUAAGCGACGGCUAAAUACGUGCCAGCAGCCGCGGUAAUACGUAUGUCGCAAGCGUUAUCCGGAAUUAUUGGGCAUAAAGCGCGUCUAGGCGGUUUACUAAGUCUGAUGUGAAAAUGCGGGGCUCAACUCCGUAUUGCGUUGGAAACUGGUAGACUAGAGUAUUGGAGAGGUAGGCGGAACUACAAGUGUAGAGGUGAAAUUCGUAGAUAUUAGGAGGAACACCAGUGGCGAAGGCGACUUACUGGACUGUAACUGACACUGAGGCACGAAAGCGUGGGUAGCGAACAGGAUUAGAAACCCCUGUAGUCC
rnacentral:rRNA from 1 species